rnacentral:tRNA from 1 species
GACUAUGUACUUUAAAUUAAAAGACUUGAUUUGCAUUCAAAAAAUAAGUUUUAGACUUCAUGGUCA